CUCCACCGAAAGAAAAGGAGUGGCGAACGGGUGAGUAACACGUGGGUAACCUGCCCAUCAGAAGGGGAUAACACUUGGAAACAGGUGCUAAUACCGUAUAACAAUCGAAACCGCAUGGUUUUGAUUUGAAAGGCGCUUUCGGGUGUCGCUGAUGGAUGGACCCGCGGUGCAUUAGCUAGUUGGUGAGGUAACGGCUCACCAAGGCCACGAUGCAUAGCCGACCUGAGAGGGUGAUCGGCCACAUUGGGACUGAGACACGGCCCAAACUCCUACGGGAGGCAGCAGUAGGGAAUCUUCGGCAAUGGACGAAAGUCUGACCGAGCAACGCCGCGUGAGUGAAGAAGGUUUUCGGAUCGUAAAACUCUGUUGUUAGAGAAGAACAAGGAUGAGAGUAACUGUUCAUCCCUUGACGGUAUCUAACCAGAAAGCCACGGCUAACUACGUGCCAGCAGCCGCGGUAAUACGUAGGUGGCAAGCGUUGUCCGGAUUUAUUGGGCGUAAAGCGAGCGCAGGCGGUUUCUUAAGUCUGAUGUGAAAGCCCCCGGCUCAACCGGGGAGGGUCAUUGGAAACUGGGAGACUUGAGUGCAGAAGAGGAGAGUGGAAUUCCAUGUGUAGCGGUGAAAUGCGUAGAUAUAUGGAGGAACACCAGUGGCGAAGGCGACUCUCUGGUCUGCAACUGACGCUGAGGCUCGAAAGCGUGGGGAGCAAACAGGAUUAGAUACCCUGGUAGUCCACGCCGUAAACGAUGAGUGCUAAGUGUUGGAGGGUUUCCGCCCUUCAGUGCUGCAGCUAACGCAUUAAGCACUCCGCCUGGGGAGUACGACCGCAAGGUUGAAACUCAAAGGAAUUGACGGGGGCCCGCACAAGCGGUGGAGCAUGUGGUUUAAUUCGAAGCAACGCGAAGAACCUUACCAGGUCUUGACAUCCUUUGACCACUCUAGAGAUAGAGCUUCCCCUUCGGGGGCAAAGUGACAGGUGGUGCAUGGUUGUCGUCAGCUCGUGUCGUGAGAUGUUGGGUUAAGUCCCGCAACGAGCGCAACCCUUAUUGUUAGUUGCCAUCAUUUAGUUGGGCACUCUAGCAAGACUGCCGGUGACAAACCGGAGGAAGGUGGGGAUGACGUCAAAUCAUCAUGCCCCUUAUGACCUGGGCUACACACGUGCUACAAUGGGAAGUACAACGAGUCGCGAAGUCGCGAGGCUAAGCUAAUCUCUUAAAGCUUCUCUCAGUUCGGAUUGUAGGCUGCAACUCGCCUACAUGAAGCCGGAAUCGCUAGUAAUCGCGGAUCAGCACGCCGCGGUGAAUACGUUCCCGGGCCUUGUACACACCGCCCGUCACACCACGAAAGUUUGUAACACCCGAAGUCGGUGAGGUA
rnacentral:rRNA from 1 species